rnacentral:lncRNA from 1 species
GUCCCUUUUUUGCUACAAGCUUUUCACAAGGUGCUGUUCAAACAGGCAUGGAAAAUCCUAAUAUGUUUUUCUUCAUUUUGAAAAUUGGGUGUUAAUGGCAGAUAUUUGAUUAUAACUGAUACAUGUAUUCACAACUUUUCAUAGACUUGUGACAGACUAAAUGAGUUUAGAGCAUUAUGACUUAUUGUAUAAACACCUACCAGUAUCUUUAGUUUUUCAAUCAAAGAAGACUAUUUCUUUUUGGCGAUCUUUAGAAUUGGGUUGCUGUCUCAGUCUAACACUAACCCACACCUCUAAAUUGUAGUCAUACAAGUUUGGAAAUGUUAUCAUCAUUAAGGUCACCAAAAACAUGUUUUUUUUUCACAUUUUUAGGAUGGUUACAGAUUUCUUUUUGCAGAAAUGUAAAUUCUGAGAAGUGAAAAGGUCAAAAACAUCAUGUCUUAUAUUUGUGACAAACAGAUUUUC